GGCCGCAGGAAGUUCCUGAAAACAAGCGUAGGUUGUCUAUCUAUAAAGGUAUCGUUAUUUCAAAGCAAAAUGCUGGCAUUCAUACAACAUUUCGCAUUCGGAGGAUAAUUGCUGGCAUCGGGGUUGAGAUUGUUUUCCCUCUAUACUCACCGAACAUUAAGGAGUUGAAGGUACUUAGUCAUAGGAAGGUCAGAAGGGCAAGGCUGUACUAUUUGAGAGACAAACUUCCUAGGUUCUCGACUUUCAAGUGAGAAAUAGAGAUGCAGUCGUUCUUCGGUUGUUUUUGUGUCAGAAUUGUCCCCUGAAUCCUGUCACGUUGUAAGAACUAUAUCCUCGAAUGCAUUUGAUGUCAUGUGUAUCACUUGUCUCCAAUAGUUUUGUUGUAUGUAUCAGUUCUUUCCCUUUUUCAAUUGUUCUUUAAACUCUGCUACUAGAAAGGAAGAAGUUUUUCCUCCAACUAUGACAUCAAACUUUCGACACUGCAUGUAAUUUAUGUUUUCUUUACUGGCCACCCAACUGAAGUGUGGAGAUAAAA